rnacentral:rRNA from 1 species
AUUGAACGCUGGCGGCAUGCCUUACACAUGCAAGUCGAACGGCAGCACGGGAGCAAUCCUGGUGGCGAGUGGCGAACGGGUGAGUAAUAUAUCGGAACGUGCCCAGUCGUGGGGGAUAACGUAGCGAAAGCUACGCUAAUACCGCAUACGAUCUAUGGAUGAAAGCGGGGGAUCUUCGGACCUCGCGCCAUUAGAUGAGCCUAGGUCGGAUUAGCUAGUUGGUGAGGUAAUGGCUCACCAAGGCGACGAUCCGUAACUGGUCUGAGAGGAUGAUCAGUCACACUGGAACUGAGACACGGUCCAGACUCCUACGGGAGGCAGCAGUGGGGAAUAUUGGACAAUGGGCGAAAGCCUGAUCCAGCCAUGCCGCGUGUGUGAAGAAGGUCUUCGGAUUGUAAAGCACUUUAAGUUGGGAGGAAGGGUAGUAACCUAAUACGUUGCUACUUUGACGUUACCGACAGAAUAAGCACCGGCUAACUACGUG